rnacentral:rRNA from 1 species
UACGGGGGGGGCAAGCGUUGUUCGGAAUUACUGGGCGUAAAGGGCGCGUAGGCGGCCGCCUAAGUCAGACGUGAAAUCCCUCGGCUCAACCGGGGAACGGCCGCGGAUACUGGAGGUCUCGAGGGGGGUAGGGGCAUGCGGAACUACGGGUGGAGCGGUGAAAUGCGUUGAUAUCCGUAGGAACUCCGGUGGCGAAGGCGGCGUGCUGGACCCCUUCUGACGCUGAGGCGCGAAAGCCAGGGGAGCGAACGGG